UAUGAAAAACAGCUCUGUUCCAAUCCAAGAGGUGGACAUAGAAAGGAAGACCCUGGAAAACAUGGGAAACUGAGUGUAAAUAGAGAGAUAAGACAGUGCUUAGGGAGAAGACUGAUGUUAUAAAUGCCAAGGGUCAUACUUCUUGUUGAAACAAAUAAAUAAAGUCUUGCUGAAUGCUGGUGAGCCUCACUGGGGCUAUGCCAAGGAAGACUGAGUCCUCUGAUAUAUGGAGAGCCAAUCCAGGGCACGGCAACAUAACAUCUCCAAGGCAAAAUGCAGCAGCAAGAUCUUCAGCCCUUGAGAAGUGCUCAUCUCCUCUCUGUGAAAUCCUUCUCAGAUUCAGCAGAAAUAUGUCAAAAAGAAACAUGGGAAGCAAGUACCAACCUCCCACCAGUUGCAGCAAAGCGAGAGCUGGACUCAGCAAAGUUGAAUGGAAAGUGAAGUAAACGGGCAAAAUCUCCCACACUAUAUCUAAUCCAAUUUUCUCAGAGAUGAGCUCAGAACAAAAUGGUGUUGUGGGGAAAUAUAGGUUGGUGUUGUUGAUAAAAAC
rnacentral:lncRNA from 1 species